AACUUCGUAGUGUAGUGGUCAGCACGCUCGGCGCGUAUUCGAGAGGUCCGUGGUUCGAAUCCCGGCGAGGGCA
rfam:Stegodyphus mimosarum contig40183, whole genome shotgun sequence.